UACGAAGGGUGCUAGCGUUGUUCGGAAUUACUGGGCGUAAAGGGCGCGUAGGCGGUUUAAUAAGUUGGGUGUGAAAUCCCCAGGCUCAACCUGGGAACUGCACUCAAAACUGUUUUACUUGAAUUCGGUAGAGGAUGGUGGAAUUCCCAGUGUAGAGGUGAAAUUCGUAGAUAUUGGGAAGAAUAUCCGUGGCGAAGGCGGCCAUCUGGACCGACAUUGACGCUGAGGCGCGAAAGCGUGGGGAGCAAACAGG
rnacentral:rRNA from 1 species